rnacentral:rRNA from 1 species
AUUGAACGCUGGCGGCAUGCUUUACACAUGCAAGUCGAACGGUAACAGGUCUUCGGAUGCUGACGAGUGGCGAACGGGUGAGUAAUACAUCGGAACGUGCCUAGUAGUGGGGGAUAACUACUCGAAAGAGUAGCUAAUACCGCAUGAGAUCUACGGAUGAAAGCAGGGGACCUUCGGGCCUUGUGCUACUAGAGCGGCUGAGGGCAGAUUAGGUGGUUGGUGGGGUAAAGGCUUACCAAGCCUGCGAUCUGUAGCUGGACUGCGAGGACGACCAGCCACGCCGGGACUGAGACACGGCCCAGAGUCCUACGGGAGGCAGCAGGGGGGAAUUUUGGACAAUGGGCGAAAGCCUGAUCCAGCAAUGCCGCGUGCAGGAUGAAGGCCCUCGGGUUGUAAACCGCUUUUGUACGGAACGAAAAGCCUGGGGCUAAUAUCCCCGGGUCAUGACGGUACCGUAAGAAUAAGCACCGGCUAACUACGUGCCAGCCGCCGCAGUAA